rnacentral:lncRNA from 1 species
AGAGAUCUCCUCCUCGUUCUGUACACAUAGCUCGUCCAAGGGCUGCAUCUGGCCUUCCCUUGCCGUCGGGCCUGCCCUGUUCCCUCCUCUUGCCUCUGGAGAUGGACGCUAG